rnacentral:rRNA from 1 species
CCUACGGGUGGCAGCAGUGGGGAAUAUUGCACAAUGGGGGAAACCCUGAUGCAGCGACGCCGCGUGAGUGAAGAAGUAAUUCGUUAUGUAAAGCUCUAUCAGCAGGGAAGAAAAUGACGGUACCUGAGUAAGAAGCCCCGGCUAACUACGUGCCAGCAGCCGCGGUACUACGUAGGGGGCAAGCGUUAUCCGGAUUUACUGGGUGUAAAGGGAGCGUAGACGGCAGUGCAAGUCUGGAGUGAAAGGCGGGGGCUCAACCCCCGGACUGCUCUGGAAACUGUACGGCUGGAGUGCAGGAGAGGUACGUGGAAUUCGUGGUGUAGCGGUGAAAUGCGUAGAUAUUAGGAGGAACACCAGUGGCGAAGGCAGCUUACUAGACUGUAACUGACGUUGAGGCUCGAAAGCGUGGGGAGCAAACAGGAUUAGAUACCCGAGUAGUC